GGAGGGGGCGAGCGUUGUUCGGAAUCAUUGGGCGUAAAGGGCGCGUAGGCGGCAUCACAAGUCAGAUGUGAAAGCCCCUGGCUCAACCAGGGAACUGCAUCUGAAACUGUGGAGCUUGAAUCCGGGAUGGGAGAGUGGAAUUCCCAGUGUAGCGGUGAAAUGCGUAGAUAUUGGGAGGAACACCGGUGGCGAAGGCGGCUCUCUGGACCGGUAUUGACGCUGAGGCGCGAAAGCUAGGGGGGAGCAAACGGGAUUAGAUACCCCGGUAGUCCUAGCUGUAAACGAUGGGCACUUGGUGUGGCGGGUAUCGACCCCUGCCGUGCCGAAGCUAACGCAUUAAGUGCCCCCCGCCUGGGAGUACGGUCGCAAGGCUG
rnacentral:rRNA from 1 species